rnacentral:rRNA from 1 species
UACGGGGGGGGCAAGCGUUGUUCGGAAUUACUGGGCGUAAAGGGCUCGUAGGCGGCCAACUAAGUCGGAUGUGAAAUCCCUCGGCUCAACCAAGGAAGUGCAUCCGAAACUGCCGAGCUUGAGUACUUAAGAGGAUCGCGGAAUUCCCGGUGUAGAGGUGAAAUUCGUAGAUAUCGGGAGGAACACCAGUGGCGAAGGCGGCGAUCUGGGAAGAUACUGACGCUGAGGUGCGAAAGCGUGGGGAGCAAACAGG